rnacentral:lncRNA from 1 species
UCACCAUUAGCCUUAACUAUCUUCAUUUUCUUUCACUCAACACCGAACAUAAACCCAAAGAAAAGAAAAAGAAAGGCCGAGAGAGAAUGUGAUGCUUCCAUGGAACCGUGAGUUUCUGACUCUAAUUUCUUGCAAUCCGUAACUCCAAUAAAAAAUAUAGUUCGGUAAAAAUGUUCAUAUUCUUUUUCUCUACGCGUUGGCGUUAUUUUUGUCUGGUAAAAGUUGACGGUGACGUAGCUCCUCUUCUCCUUGAGUUCGGCUAACUGGAGUUCUAAGAAGCACAGACGAUUUCUAACGCUUUCUUCUUCAGCAGCUCAAUCAAAAAGCUUUUCCGGAGCUUUUGAGGAUUUUGGUUCCGUACGAAGGUAGGGAAUUUUAUUUUGAAAUUAACUGUUUGAAACUAUGAAUGUCAUGGAAGUCUAGUGAGUAUUUGUAAAUAAUUUAAGAUUAUUUGGAAUGACUGAAUGAUGAAUUUGAUGAAUAUGUAUUUGAUUUCUUGAUUGAAAAUAGGUUGAAAAUGGUUCAGUUGGGACCGAAAAGAGUGGCUAAGCCCGAGUUUUAGGGAAAGUGCUGUCAAAAUUUUAUAAAAUCUGAGGUUUUAUUUGAAAAGUUAUUUUAAAAGAUUUGGUUUUAGAAAAUUAAAUUAUUUGAGAUUUAUUUAGUUGAGAAAAUGUGUGUUCUAUUUUAAAAAAAAAAAAACUCGAUUUAUUAAAGAAAAAUAUCAUGUUUUAAAUCCAAUUUUGUAAGGAGAGAUUUUGUUUUAAGUGUUGUUUUGAGUUCGGUUUUUUAAGAAAAGGAAUCUUUGUCACAGGAGAGCAGGGAACAAGAAUUUAAAGAAUAUAUUAACUAAAAGGAUCUCUGCCACAGGAGAGCCACUACAAAAAAAAGGGUUAAAAUGGCGGUUUUUUAAGGUAAUUACGGCGGUUACAACCGCCAUUAUUACCGAAAAUGGCGCCCCCAAGAAACGCCGGAAUUCCCGGAAUUCUUCUGGUUAUUACGGCGGUUUUUUUGAAAACCGCCGUAAUAACCAGUGGAUAAUACGGCGGUUUUUGGGCGGUUAAAAUGGCGGUUUUUAACCGCCAUUUUAACCAAAUAAAACGGCGGUUUUGUGGUUGUUUAAAAUGGCGGUUUGUAACCGCCGUUUUUACCUGGAUUUAAUGGCAUCUUCUCGUUUAAAAUGGCGGUUUAUAACCGCCGUUUUUACCUGGGUUUAAUGGCAUCUUCUCGUUUAAAAUGGCGUUUCUAACCGCCGUUUUUACCUGGGUUUAAUGGCAUCUUCUCGUUUAAAAUGGCGUUUCUAACCGCCGUUUUUACCUGGGUUUAAUGGCAUCCUUCUCAUUAAAAAUGACAUUUAUAACCGCUGUUUUUACCAGUAUUUAAUGGCAUCAUUUUUGUUUAAAAUUGCAUUUUUUAACUGCCAUUUUUACCAGAAUAUAAUGGCACCAUUUUUGUUUAAAAUGGCAUUUUUAGCUGUUGUUUUUACCUAAUUGCAAUUUUAUACUUUUUAAAAUGAGAUUGAAACUAUGUAUUUAAAGUGACAUUUUUAGAACUCAAAUUUUAAAAUCUCAUAAUAACUAAAAAGCAUAACCUUGAAUCAAACAUCAUAACAAGAUUUUUAAUUCAUACACAUUCUCCGAAAAUAAAAAAUCAUAAUCCAAAAACAAAGUAUCUAAGAUAACAUUUUUCAAUAAUUUGUCUUAACAUAUAUCUAUAAUACUUAAUACAUGAAAUCUUUAUCAUACAAGAUCAUGCUUCUUUGUUGCUCGCUCCAAAAGACCUACUUCCUAACUCUCUUGGUGAUGGAAUCUCACUCUCUUGAUCCAAUCCCUACAACAAAAAUAUAAUUAUGAGCACAAUAAAAAAGAAUAUAAAACUGAAUCUGAAACUAUUAAUAUAAAAUUAUUCAAUCAAAAACGAAAAGAUCAAAGAUCACAUAAAACUGAAUCUGAAACUAUUAAUAUAUAAUCUAACAAAGCAACUUCUGCAAGAGAGGCUUCUCUAAUGCACAAGUACUUGGAGGUCACAUGAACCUUCAUAGGAAGGACAAAGCAAAGAUCAAAGAACAGCAACAAUUUUCUUCUUCUUCAAAUCAAACUACUCAUCAUCAACAAUUUUUAUUGGAGGGGAAUCUUGGUAGUAACAAUGAUAAUAAUAAUAAUAAUAAAGAGCUUUUAAAUGUGCCUCAUCAACCACUUAUGGACGAUGAAACCAAUAAUAAUAAUAUUGUGAUGAUGAGGCAGUUACCACUCUUUUCAGAAUCAUCAUCAUCACCUCCUCCUCAUCAUCAUCUUCAACAGCAAGAGGAUCAAAUUUCUGGUCAACAAGGUCCCUCAUCAUCUUCAGAAUUAGACCGCCUAAACCUCGAACACGACCAGGGUGCUCUUUCCCAAGAACUACUCCAAGAGCAUCAAGAGGAGAAUUAACGGUUAAUUCCACCGCUUGUUGACUACUAUAUGCUUCAAUCUUCUCCUACAUAUAUAAAAAGAAAGGGAAAGAAUCAAACAUAAUAUUAUCUUAUAAAAAAAAAGAAAAAGAAAUACAAACAAGUUACUUAUUUCACUUUAGUCUUACCGCUAUUUCUUUAGCCUUUUCAUUAACAUAACUUCCAUCUAUUUUCUUGUGAGUGAUAUCCCACAUUUGAACCCUACUAACUUCUUUUCCCGUCUCUUCCGUCUAAAUUCAAGAAAAGUAGAAAGACUCAAUCAAGAAAUAUAUCAUCCAAGAAAAGAUAUGCAUAAAAUUAAGUAACUAACAGCAACAAUAUGUUCUAUUUGAGAAGCAGAAAAGGAAUUUAGAGAAGCAGAAAAGGAAGCUAGGAAAAAUUAUUUUAUGUUUUUGAUUCAUGUACUAUAUAGGGAAAAAUCUUCUACUAUCCCAUGAUUUUGUAAAGGGUUACAUGAGAAUUUGUGAAAUGAUUGAUUCUACAAUCCCUUUCUCAAAAAUGGAUUCAGUUGGUUUGAAAGCCCUGUUUUUCAGUGAAGGUUUUAAGCCAUUAAGUUAACCCAAGUGGCAAGCAAGAUUAAAUGUUUAUUGUUACUUUCUUUUUCUAAAUGCUGCCAGCUUCUAUUCUUUUGGAUGCACUAUUGUCAAGGUUGAACGAAAAUGUGCAUGAGUGAAUGCAGAAUGCCUACUAGAUACUACCUAACUAACAAAUAAUUAUUCAGCACCGAAAAAAUAGAAGCACAAAUACAUCAACAAAUAUAUAUAUAUAAUUAUUUUAUGUUUUUGAUUACCAAUUCAGCCCUUCUUCUUGCAAUUGAUUUAGCACCUGAAGUAUGAGGAAUUAUUUGUUUUUGCCGAAUUUCUUGAUUCCUCUUACAAAGAUUCUGCAAGAUUAGUUUGGACAAAAUUAAAUAGAGUUAAACAUGCAUUCACAACAUUCCAUAUAAUACUUAAUUUCCUAUCAGCCAACUUAAACCAUUGAAUAAGUUCAGCUUCAAAAUAAUUAACUCUCAGUGAAUCCAACAGUCUUAAUUACUCACUAACAGUGAUCCAACAGUUUCAUACUUUUUGUACACUUCUCUAAAUAAAAUAUUUCUUUUCACAUAAUAAUGUUUUCCUUUAUACAUUAGACUAGAAGAAGAAAGACGAUAUAAUAAUAUAACAACUAGCUACUUGCAGCUCUAAUUAAUACACAACUAGCUACUUGAUAUUUGAAUUGAAAACAUAUUCAUUUUCUAAUAAUUCUUAUUAAUUUAUAAGAUUUGAAUCCAAAAUUGUGUGACGGUAUUUGUUAAUUACACAAAAAUAGCGAUGAUGACAAUGCAAUAAUUUAAUUGGCAACCAAGUAAAAUCGUAAAUGCAAGCUCAUUGGUGAAAAAGAUGCAAUGGUAGUAUGAUCAAAUUCUAGGAAGGAAUUAAAAAAAGAAGAAAUAAAGAAAAAGGCAUUAACAUUAAAGAAAGAGUCUAAUUAGCUUUCCAUUGGAAUGUAAAACUACCACUGCCUAAGCACAUGCUUCCCACUGAUUUCUUUUUAUCUUUUCUUUUCUAUUUUUUCUUUCUGUUUUUUUAUUUUGUCCUCAGUUUGAGACCCCUUUCCUAGCAUCAUCUAUAUCUUUGUGCAUGUGUGUUGGCAUUUUGGAAUGGGAGUGUUUGAUGCAAAGCAAUUGAAGUUUUAGUUUGAACUUUGAACCCCAAGGAAUAUGAUGCAAAGCAAUUGAAGCAGUAAAGACCCCAUCCUCCUUUUAGUGAACUAAUGAUGUGAAAUACAUAAGGCACAACUUGGCAUUAGUUGCCAAAUUUGCAUUAUUAACCACUGAGGCUGAACAUGAGUCAUGGCGAAGUAAUUCAAUAGGAUCAUAUAAAUUCAUGUAGUUAUAUCAUAAGAAAAAGCAUCUAUUGCAAGUUCAUCAAAGUCAAACAUUCUAGCAUGAAAAAAAAUCAAUUUUACCAAUUUUCAGAGAUAAAAAACUUAGUUUAGAAGAAUUAAAACAUGAAAAGCAAUUUGAUGCUUAGUCACAUAAGAUGCUGCUUUAAAGAUAUUGACCAAAGAGAAUUCAACACAACAAUUAUAGUUAUUGAUUUCAGAAGAACAAGCUAAUAAUAAUAACUGCUAUGGUUUCAUAACUUAAUCAUCAACAAACUUAUUGAGCACAGCAAAAAUCACCAGGAAGAAUGACUAGUACACGAUGCAGAGAAAAAUAUCAGAACAAAUGAGAAUCGCACUAAAUAUCAGAAGAAAAAACAAAUACUGAAACUAAUGCAGAGAAGCUUACCUAAUAAACGAGCUGCAACAACGCGAACAAUGAAACAAGGUUUCUCCACUAAUAACAAUGAACAAGAAGUGAAACUAAAGCUGGGUACUGAAACAUGCUUAGAAUCUCCACUUCCAUUUACUUGCCACAACAAAUAAUGUCUUAUCUCUGAUGAAUUUUCUUCUACCAAAAUAAAUAAAUAAAUGAAUCAGCAUAUAAAUAAAUAAAAAAAGUCUAGUAAUAUUGUUAUUAAAUAAAAAAAAUAAAAAGGCUACAAAUUCAAAGGCAUUCAAAGAACAAAUAUCAUGGUUGAGUUUAUCAAAGAUGAAACAAGCUGGGGCAUGAUGCAUGUGAAGCCCAGAAUAAACCAAACUAGAGGCUAAUUACCUGUGAAAAUAAGUCAGCUAAGCAAGUUAAAAGAUUUUCUUCCAACUCCCCAAUGCUUUUGUUAUUUCCAUAAUACUCUAGUAAUUGUUCACGAAAUGGAACACAAAAUUAUAGUGUCUGCGGUAAGUAGCAAAAUGAAAUGAUAAGUUACUAGUCAAGAACCAUGAAGAUAUUUACAAAACAAGAAUAAUCAUACACAUAAAAGGUAAAUGCUUGUACAAAAUGUAGUGUGGACCAUAUAUAUUGAAUAUAACAAAGAAAACAUUGAAUAAUAGUUUAGCCUUAAAUUUCAAUAGACUAUCAAUCAAUUUCAACAAAAAAACUUAUGAAAGAUGAUUAAGAGUCACGGGUUGGAAGUAAAAAUCGCACAUACCCAAUCCUCUGUAAUUGAUUUUUGGCCGAAACAAAACCAACACCCCCAUAACCUAACAACAGCCAUUCCACUAAAAUUGUUCAAAAAUAAAUAUAAACAAAAGGAAGCCCAAGACAGCCAGCCUAAAAGAAGCAGAAAGAAUGAAAUGAAACAAGGACUACAGCAUGUUAAUCAAAUCUAAGUGCAAGGACAAGUUAAUCAAAUAAUGAGAUGCACUACAUGUUUGAGAUUGGAGCAGUUUUUUCUGAGAUCUAAGAUCUGAGAUUGGAGAUUAGAGAAACACCUUAAUAGAAGUAAGCAAUAGAAGAUCUAAGUUCAGAGAGAGAGAGAGAGAGGAGGGAGUAAAGUUAAGAAAGAAGACCUGAGAUCGUCGUCAAUCACCCCCGCACCAACGUCAAUCCAAUGCUUCAAGGAAGACCCAAAAAUCCCUAACAGAGCUGCAGAGAAACAAAACCCCCCAAAAAUCAGCACCAAAAGCAAUUUUGAAACCCUAACCCAAACAAAAACAAAUAAAUCGGUGCCUUCUGGAAUCAAAAUGCUGAGGUCAGUAGCCACCAGAACCUUGCCUCUUGCCGGAAUCUUCGUCUCCACAGCACAAAAGAAAAAACAAAAUAAAACAGCAUUUCAAUUUAACUUGAGAGGGAGAGGUACCUGGAGAGAUCGUAACCGGCGGAGAGAGGAGAAGUCCUAGAAGGAAGAACGGCGUUGUUGGAGAGCUUCUUUAACGGAGGAGAUGAUGAACGUUGUUUGUUUAGAGAGGAGAUCGUAACCAGAGCGUUGUUCAGAGAGGAGAUGAUGAACGUUGUUUCUUACCUUUACGUUGUUUGUUGGUGUAACCAGAUCGUAACCAGAGAGGAGAAGCCCUAGCUAGAACGAAGAACGGCGUUGAAUGAGCCAGGAUUACAAUUUUUUUCAUUUUAUAUGCGUGUGAAAACGGCGGUUCAAACCGCCAUAAUCACCAGAACCGCCAAAAUAUAUAAAGCCAAUUACGGCAGUAGCAACAAUUGCCAUAAUGUCUUGAUAUUAUGGCGGUUCUUUAAAACCGCCUUAAUAUCAAUGCCAUUUUAACUCCUUUUUUUUGUAGUGAGCAGAGAACAAAGAUUAAAGAAACAUAUUAAAUUAAUGAAAUGUCUGCCACAGGAGAGCAGAUGUGAUAUUGUUUGGGCCUUAGGGCCAAAUGUAAAGUGGGGACGCCCACACACUGAGAAUUGUUUUCCAGAUGUACGCUUAUUGAUUUGGAAAGUCACACUGUAUGCGGCCUAGCCGUACGACUUAUAAGCACACUGUAUGCAUCUGGAAAGCCAUAUCUGGGACUCGUGCCCGGGUAAUGUCGGGAGCGGGUAGGCAACCGACACAUGAGCUCAUGGCCUGCAUUAGGGACAGGCAUGCAUCAUAUGCAUUUAUAUGACAUUGUUUGGGUGUGCAUAUUAUAAUUGGUUUGCCUAUGUGAAUAGUUACAUUUAAUUGCUAAUUGUUCUACUUAAUAUAACUGCUUGAUUGUGUUUGAACCUUCUUACUUGUGUUUGUGGCUGAAAAUUGGUUGGAUUGUGAUGAAUUAGUAGUUGAUUGAGUUGCUUGGGCCUAGGGCCGUGGUUGAUUAUGAGAUGUUGUGGUUGAAAUAUGACUAAUUUUGUGAUUAAAAUCUGUUUUGAGUUAAGAAGUUUAAAAAAAAAGUAAUUAUUUAUCUGAAGUGGAGAUAAAAGUAUUUCCAAAGGUUUAACAAAAUAGUUUUACUAAGUAAGUCAAUUAUUUGCAUUGAAUUCAUUACUUUUACGGCAUUCCCAAUCUCUACUGAGAACGUGUGGUUUGUUCUCACCCCAAAUCUUCCACCCUUUCAGUGACACAGGUUCGGAGAUUUAGUAAGAAGCUGCAGACGAUUAGUAGAUUUAUUUGUGGUUCCUGUUAUUUUUUAUAGAGUUUCCCCGCCCUCGUUGUUUCAAGGUUUUUAUUUUAUCCAAAGGGAUAGGUACUGUAUUUGAGUUUUACAUUGAAUUUAAUUAUAUGGC